GUGGGGAAUAUUGCGCAAUGGGGGAAACCCUGACGCAGCAACGCCGCGUGAGUGAUGAAGGUCUUCGGAUCGUAAAGCUCUGUCGGCAGGAACGAUGGGCAAUCUGGCUAAUACCCAGGAUGCUUGACGGUACCUGCAAAGGAAGCACCGGCUAACUCUGUGCCAGCAGCCGCGGUAAUACAGAGGGUGCAAGCGUUGUUCGGAAUUAUUGGGCGUAAAGGGCGCGUAGGCGGUCUGUCAAGUCGAAUGUGAAAGCCCAGGGCUCAACCUUGGAAGUGCAUCCGAAACUGGCAGACUAGAAUCUCGGAGAGGGUGGUGGAAUUCCCAGUGUAGAGGUGAAAUUCGUAGAUAUUGGGAGGAACACCGGUGGCGAAGGCGACCGCCUGGACGAAGAUUGACGCUGAGGCGCGAAAGCGUGGGUAGCAAACAGG
rnacentral:rRNA from 1 species